rnacentral:rRNA from 1 species
UAGGGGAUCUUCCACAAUGGGCGAAAGCCUGAUGGAGCAACGCCGCGUGUGUGAUGAAGGGUUUCGGCUCGUAAAACACUGUUGUAAGAGAAGAAUGACAUUGAGAGUAACUGUUCAAUGUGUGACGGUAUCUUACCAGAAAGGAACGGCUAAAUACGUGUCAG